UACGGAGGGGGCUAGCGUUGUUCGGAAUUACUGGGCGUAAAGCGCGCGUAGGCGGCUUGCCAAGUUGGGGGUGAAAGCCCGGGGCUCAACCCCGGAACUGCCUUCAAAACUGGCAGGCUCGAGGCCGAGAGAGGAGAGUGGAAUUCCCAGUGUAGAGGUGAAAUUCGUAGAUAUUGGGAAGAACACCAGCGGCGAAGGCGGCUCUCUGGCUCGGUCCUGACGCUGAGGUGCGAAAGCGUGGGGAGCAAACAGG
rnacentral:misc_RNA from 1 species